UGAGGAAUAUUGCGCAAUGGGCGAAAGCCUGACGCAGCGACGCCGCGUGGAGGAUGAAGGUUUUCGGAUUGUAAACUCCUGUUAAGUGGGAAGAAACGACAAAAUAUAAUACAUUUUGUAACUGACGGUACCAUUAAAGAAAGCACCGGCUAACUUCGUGCCAGCAGCCGCGGUAAUACGAGGGGUGCAAGCGUUAUUCAGAAUUAUUGGGCGUAAAGGGUGCGUAGGCGGCGUAUUAAGUCAACUGUUAAAACCUCCAGCCUAACUGGAGAUCAGCAGUAGAUACUGGUAUGCUAGAGGAUGGAAGAGAGAAGUGGAAUUCUUGGAGUAGCGGUGGAAUGCGUAGAUCUCAAGAGGAACACCAAUGGCGAAGGCAGCUUCUUGGUCCAUAUCUGACGCUGAUGCACGAAAGCGUGGGGAGCAAACAGGAUUAGAUACCCUGGUAGUCCACGCCGUAAACGAUGAUCACUAGAUGUUAAUUCUGCUUGCAGAAUUAGUGUCGUAGCUAACGCGAUAAGUGAUCCGCCUGGGGGACUACGGUCGCAAGAUUAAAACUCAAAGGAAUUGA
rnacentral:rRNA from 1 species